rnacentral:lncRNA from 1 species
UUUUUUUUUUUUUUUUUUUUUUUUUUAGUUUUACAAUAUCCUUUUUUAUCCUUUUUUUUUUUCCUUUUCUACAACUUCUAUAAAUUAUCCUGACCCACCCUCCUCUUAUGGAGAUGGCCUCCCUAACUCAGAGCAUAGCAAGUCGCUGCACCGCUGCACCCGCUGAAGUUAUCUCACUUCACCCUCAGCAGCCCUCCGGCAAGUAUUUUUAUCUCCAUUUUGCAUGUGAUGAUACAGAAACUCAAGAGGCUCCGUGACUUGCGAGCCACCGACCCCUUGCUUGCUCAAACUUGCUCCACUUCACAUCAGACCCAGUGCUCAGAAUUCUUAGAGACCCACAUGAAGGUGUGUUUCUUUUAAAAUCAAAAGUGAAUAAUGAACUUUUAAGACAAAACAUUGCAUCUGGCUUUCUAUCAGUACCACUCUAAAAUAUACCUGUUAAUAUUUGAAAAGAGAAGGGACCUAUGAAGGCUACCUUGCAGCCCCGGCUCAGCCCAUCCAGGCCCAGCUCUCCAUGGCGGGGCCCCUGGGCCAGGCAGCUGCCAGGCCACCCUCUGUCUCUACCUUAGGGAGAUUUUGAGAACCAGAAGCAAAUUCUUGAGGAGACCCAAGACUCACUCCCCUCUCUCUCUCUCUUUCUCUCUCAUCCUCUUGGCCUUUUAGGCCAUAAAAUUGGGCUUUCCUUCACUUCCAAGUUUAAAAGUCAGUUUUCUUUGCCCUCUCCAUUAAAGAAGCAGCCUGUGCUCAUUGUAGAGUUAUAGACACAAGACCAAGGAGAAGGGCACAGGAAGCUUCUCUCUAGAGCAGAGGUGACCUCAGGUACACAUGGACAGCCAGGCACCAGCUGGGAGGCAGUUCAGAAGGAGACCUGGGCAGAGAGAAAGAUGGAGGAUUUCAGGGUAAAGAGGCCACGCAGCUCAGGGUCCGAGGGGAGCUGCAAAGAGCCUGCACUGAUCAUGGGGUGGUAGAGUUCAGCACGGGAGCAGAGCCAGGCAGGAGGGCUAUGCUGGUCCAUGCCUAGAGGGGAGGCACAUGGCAUCUUGUUCAACCAGAUGUUACCCAGAUGUCUUAAUAUUAAUUCCAGUUUAGAAAUAUGGAAGCUGAGGUUCAAAGAAUUUACUUCCCCAUAGCCUUGCUGGGCAUCACUGGCCCCAUCCAGCUUUGAGCCAGGUGUGCCUCCACCCCAGGACCCUUGCCCCUCCACUCAGCUCUGCAUGGCCCUGAAGUCACUCUCCUGCCCCAGAAGAAAAGGCCUUUCUUUACCUACCUCCCCACCCUGGGUCAUUUGUGCUGGCUCUGUCCUCCCCUGCUGGACCCCACCCAGCAGCAGAGCAGCUGCUGCUGAAAUGCUCCUAGUGGCCGUGACCUGGCAAGCACUGCGGCCAGCCUACACCAGGGCUCUCUUCCCCGAGGAAGCCGUGGGCAGCUGCCUCUUGGGGUCACUGCAAGGGCACCAAGAGAGAAUAACACCCCCACCACCUGCCAACCAAUUCCAGGCUUGCCUCCCCCAAGGAACCAACCCCAGCUGACAGCCUGGCCUUUCAUUCAAACAUCACAAGCCAUGGGACCAUCACAAGCCACAGGACCGCUCCUUCCUUGGGUGUUAUCAUUUGCUGGGUGCUUUCAGGUCUGUUUCUUCUCUUCACUCAAGAGGCACUGCAUGCCCUCUCUGACAGAUGAAUGAAAUGAAGCUUGGAGAAGCCAGAGGUAGUGCUCGGAGCAAUGCUGGACACGGGUCUCUGAUUCCCUUGGGAGAGCACUGUUUUUGCCACAGACGCCCACUUAGCAGUGUUCUAAGUGGGGAUGGAUAGGGUGACAUCGAGGCACUGAUCCUAGGACUGCAGUCACCAGAAGGAACGGAAGUCCCCCAUCCCUGAAUCUCCAAAGCAGUGGCUGCCUACUGGGGUCUCUGCCCCAAACACACACACAUCGAAAUGAUGUCACAACUGCAGAUCUCCAGAGCAAUUAUUUUCAGAAGUGACAUUUCUACAAAUGCUCAUUCUUAGAUGAGGUUUGCAAAUAUGAAGGAGAUCAAAGCCCAUCCAUUGGACUGGGGUUGGGGAUAAGAGGCCUGGUGACCCCUUCCAGGGACCCCCUUGUGAUGGUCCCUGUCCAGUCAUCGCUGGACACUGAGGCCUCACGUAGCCCAGUUUACAGCCUCCUGGCUGGUGUCUUGCAGGAUGGCCACCUGAUGUCCAGUCACUGUUUGUCAUCAAUGAUGGCACUUUGGGGCUUGCAUCUCAGAGGGUUGUUCCACCUGACACAUUUCCAUCACAUUAAGUGCAAGAUGUUCUCACUGUGGUUAAAUACUUGCCUACAGCCAGACUAUACUGUGCACCCAGCCGUCACUCAUCCUACCAAUUAACUCCAUGAAAAAGGUUCUUAUCGAACUUCGAAAGUCUAUGAAGAAAAUUUGAAAAGUGAGGAAGGAAACUAGAUGGAUAAUUCCAUUACAAAAACAAUUUAUCCACAAACGCUUACAGACCGCCAUAUGCAAGAGAAACUCAGAGGCUUAUGAUGCGUCCACCCUUGUCUGCCCCAGGGAUUCAGGAGGAGAUGAGGAAAGGACUGAGACAAGGACCCUGCCCUCAAAUUAUCCUUGGGCUUCUGAGGCAGCAAGACGUACAUCAGGGCAGGAAUCAAAGCAUCCAACCCUCGUUGUGGGAAGUUUCUUUUCACACGAACUCUGGUUUCAGAUCUAAUUGCCUGUCUCCUUGUGAUUCUUCAAUAGGUAUUCAGAUAUUUAAAAAAUAACAAUAACUUUGGGAGUUCCCAUUGUGGCUCAGCGGUAACGAACCCAACUAGUAUCCAUGAGGAUGCAGGUUCAAUCCUUGGCCCCACUCAGUGGGUUAAGGAUCCGGCGUUGCAGUGAGCUGUGGUGUAGGCUGGCAGCUGCAGCUCUGAUUUGACCCCUAGCCUGGGGACCUACAUGUGCUUUGGGUGUGGCCCUGAAAAAAAAAAGACUUUGUACUUGAAGAAGUUGUUGACCAGUGUUGGUUGUUGAGAAUGUUCAAACUCUGGGGAAUGGCUUAGGUUACAGGGAUGUAAGCCCCACUCACCACCACCGCAUGUCUGUGUAGGAAAUGUGUUCUCUUUCAAAGAGAACAAAAUUCCCUUCAAAGGAGGGUUGAAGAAAGUUGGUUCCGAUGGGCUUUUGAACUACAUGUAUCUGUAUCAGGCUUUGGUAAUUACCACCCCCCAGGUCAUUUCCUAUUUAAGAAUCUCAGGGCUUCUGAAAAGCUCUUCCAGAACAUGCUAUUUUUCAAGAACUCAUUGGAGUGAAACGAUGUUUGUCACUCGCUGAGAGAGCAAACAGUGCUGGGGGAAGUCAGAACACAUCUUUGAGGACAUGGCAGUCGAAGGCAGAUGAAAGCCAUAGUUUUCCUUCCAAGUUCAGGCACGGCUGUGGGGCUGUUUCCCCAUUCACAGGCACUUCUUCCGGGCUCUGUAUAUCCUGAGGCCUUGGUCUCCAGCCAGCUGUGCUUUUGGUAAAAGCUAGCUCUGAGGCCACCCGGCCUGGAGGCACAGUUGUCAGUUCCUGGCCUCCUUGCCCCAAGGCUCCAGGAACAGAGGCCAAUUGUCUCUGAACAAAAGACUGACCUCUCACUGCCCUGCCCCCUGCCUGGGCCCCUGCUGUUCCUUUGAGCCCCCAGGGAUGGGGUCACCCCCAGAAGAAGUGAGCAGAGGGUGGGCCUCAGGUCCCCCUGUCUUUCAGGGACACUUGUUCUACUGCAGGAUGCUGCCCAUGCCCCCUCUGGCCUCCCUGGAGCAGGCUGUUGGUGCAGCCCUCCUGGAGCUACCUGGACAGACCAUUACUCCCAUCCUGGGACCUGGCAUCUCCAAGCCCAGAAUUACCUGGAGAGUCUCUUCGUGACAGCCUGGCCAGUCAGCAGGCCAAGGGGGGUGCAAAGAGCUGAGUCAAAGAGGCCCAGGCUACAGUCUUCCCAGCAUAGAUGGCCUGAACCCCAUGCAAGGUUUAAAUCAGAAGCAGGGCUCUCUGAAGUUGCUGGUGCAUCUUCCCUGUGAAGCUUUUCAGCAGAACCGUUCUGGGCCCCGCAAGGAAUGAGUGCAAAUGUGGAUCCCCAACAGCUGCAGUCACAGGCCCUCAGGACCUCCUGGGAGGGACUGGGAGUGAGAAUAAACACAAGAGAGAGCCUCAAGCAGGGAGAGGGUGCCUUGGCCCCUCCCCCGCAGCUCUAGGUCCACAAAGCCCUGGGGUGGGGCAGGCGCCCGGCAGAGGGCAGGGAGCAGCCAGGGUGGAGGGUUUGGCCUGCAGGGUUGGAGAAAAGAGCCAGGAAAGGGUGUGGGUGAGGGUGGUCUCAGCGCGAGGCUCCUGGGAUCCCAGCUUCUACCUUUCUGGGAAAAGAGACCCCAUAUCAUGCUCAGCCUCACCCCAAGGCUUCACCAGAAAUUGCAUCCCAUGAUUUCAGAGGCUUCCAAAAGCCGGCCUCUGUGCAUGCACAUGUGAGCCUGUGACCUGGAGGGGUGAAAGCACAACCUGGAAUUACAGACACCUUCUCUCUGAGCACAGAGUGGUGAGGAGACCAACAAGGCUCCCACAGCUCGGGUCAGGAGCUGGGUGGCCCCCGCCUCAGUCUCCCUGACAGCGCAUGUCGGAGGCAUAACUUAAUUCGGCAACAGCCAGGUUCAUCGGCGGGACAACCUGAGAGGUUAUUUCAUCUGCUUUACAUUUACACACCGUUAUGUCUGGUCUGCUGAGCUAUGCAGUUAAGUGACCAGAACCACAUGAGUGCAGCCCAUGAGCUCACCCUGAGCGCCCCCUGCCCCUGGAUGACCAUCCCAGCAUGAGAAUCCAGGGGCCACUCAAAUACUUUGCUUCUUGUCUCCAGGAACCGCCCUGCAGGGACGUAGGCUGUGCACAUCCCUUUGUCCUUGGACCUGCUAGUGCCCCAAAGCUCAGGGGUCCUCACUCAGCCAUAGCCUUAUGCCAGAGGAGGGUGGGGGCAUGGAGAGGGCAUCAGCAUCUCCUGAGUCUCUCAAAGCGGAGGGCAGGUGUCCUUGCGCCCCCCGGGGAGGGGGGUGCCUUUAUACACCCCUUAGAAAGGGGGUCCGAGCCCCUCAUACAACUGGUAUCCAGAGUGUUCCCAGAAAAGGUGUAAAGGAACUGUCCCAAGGCCACACCAGUAACAAAUGGUAGAGGCAGUGGUACAGUGCAGGCACCUUUUGAUCCCUCCACGUCUCCACCCACAAGCUCACCUGCAGGCAGCAUAUCCUCCCCAUGAUGCUGUGUGCUUAUGUGCUACAAGUCCACGGACACAAGUGCUUCAUUCUUAAGUGUGUGCAUGCGCACGCACGCGCGCACACACACACACACACACACACACGCAUACAUACACAUACACAGAGGAUAUCUGACCCUGCCUCUUCGAUUCAGCUCAGGGCCCCCUCCCUCCUGAGCAGGGCUGCCCAAGCCUCUGCACCAGCAGGUGCACAGCUCAGCCCCCUAUGCAGCUUGGCUAUGUCUGCCUCUGUUUUUUCCCGAGUUUUUUUUCCCUUCCCUUUAUGCAUGCAUGCUGAUGGAAACAGCUCCUUCCCCCAGGCCUGCCUCUGAUAAGGUUCCCUCAGUUUCCAGCAAGUGGAGCUGAGCCUCUUAUCAGGCAGCAGCAGGGGAUCUGCACCACCACCCCCCAUCUGCACCGGGCAGGCUGGUGCUGAUAAAGCGGGCCUGGGCCCAGCACUCACCAGCUGCUUCUCAACUUGUCCCCAGGGGGGACACAGAAGCAGGCAGUGGGAGCCAGGAAGUCUCUUCCCUUUCUUAGACACCAGAACUGAGUUCCAGUGACCACAGUCACCUGAUGGGGAGCAAGUUGGGGACAGAGGUCUGGCCAGGAUGCUGCAGGAGGAAUUACUCCUUAGGGCCUGAACAUGGCAGUGGGAGUUGGCUCCUCUUGGGGCCUAUCAGGAUCAGCCUUUGGUGUGAGUCCUCUUAGAAUUCCCUAUGGGGCAAGCACUGUUGUUCUGAUUCCUGGGUAAGAUGCUGAGCCCAGCAGACAAUUUGAAGGCAUUUGGCCUCAUAGGGCAGAUGGGAUGAGGUUUGCAGCAGGCUUGCCAGCCCCCAAAGCUCAGACUGCCCCCACCCCAGUCCUGGGGGCUCUGAUUUGAAGGAGAUCAAAGUCCUCACCCCCACCCCACCCCGACACACACCCCAUUUGAAGAUAGAAAUUCUACCUUCAAAUGUUAACUUCUUUUCCUUUAAGUUUGGGUCACUGGUAAAUGUCCUCUCUUUAGGGUAGGACAGACUGGGUUAGCUGACUAUUUUGUGAAAAGUGACUUGGCCUCUCUGACUUUAGUUGUCCUGCCUAUUAUAUGGACUGUGUGCCAUGCCCUGCCAGGAGCACCCAGGAUUCCACAGCUGGAGGGCAUCUCCCACCAGUGGCCGCCACUGCUUCCAUCAGUGGAGGCAGGGCCUGGGGCUGGCAGCAGGUCCAGCCAUAGACCCUCAUCUGGGUUUGAAUCCUGGCUCUGUCCUUGGCAACUGAGCUCUAGCCUUUUUAUAUUUACACCAGGGGUAGAAAUACCAGCUGCAGAGUUGUUGGGGAGUUCAGCUAAUGAGAAGUACUCGCCGCCUGUGACAGGCCCAGCAGAGGGAGUUUGGGGUGAGAAGUAUCUUGAGUGUGAGGUGAAGUGAGUGAGGUCCUAGCACAGAGCAGACCCAGGGAAGACCUCCAGCUGCCCUGUGCACAUGGAUGCACAGGAGGAUGGAGGACACUCCAAGACCAAGCUUCCAUACAGGGCAGGGUAGGCAGGGCCACCUGGCACCCUGGGCCGGUAAACAGAGCCUUCCCUGGAAGGUGCACCCCCCCCCCUGCCCUGAGGGCCCCAUGGGAGGGGCUCAGAGUGGUGCACCAAGGCAGCCCUGUCAGAGCAAACCUCAAGGAAAGGAUCGGUGACACUGCCAAGAGGAUAAGCAGCUAAUGCAGAGCCACACAAGUGGUCUGCCCUGAGAUGGACACUGAGCUGGAGGUGUGAGGUUACAGCUGAAAUACCAAGCAACCAGCCUCCCCAGACACCAAGGCUGGGGAAUGUUAAGGGUGGGAGAAAGGGCAGGUGGGGGCAGGGCAGGAGGGCUGCCCAUGAGCUGGGGUCUGGGGAAGGAGCAGGGAGGGGUCCUCAGGUCUUUCCCCUGGAAUCAGUUAAAGCAUCAUUUGUGGUCAUGGGAGGCAGAGGCCUAACGUGUGUCCAGUUCUCUGCAGCCAAGAGGUCAACACAGAUGGCCUCUUGCCCAGCACCCAGCAGGUGCUCAGUGGACUGGUUCAGCCAGUACUGCAAACUCCUGCUUUCCUAACUUGUUGUGUGGGUGUUUCUCCUGCUGCAUGUCACCAGGCUGCCAGGAGGAGUUUUGUGUGACAACCUUCCCUGUGCCGUUCACCCUGCAAAUUGCUGGACACCCAUGGGAAGAUGCCAUAGCCUCCCCUAUACCCCAGAGUCAUUUUGCUGUGCUUGCUGGGUCUGCUGUAGAAACAGGAAGUCACUUCCUCCUAGAAGGUCAGCACAGGUGCCUCCUAUGGGGGGUUGGGUUUGAACCAGUGAGGGUUCUUGUAUGGAUACAUGCUGGAGGGGCAGUGGAAGGACCAUUCAGAGGAGAGGGCACAGCAUGAGCCGGAACCUGGGAACAUAAAAUAGAAUCAGAGUCCAUGUGACUUUGUGGACACUUGCAUGGGACAGGCGGGAUGUGGACACUGAGAUGACAAUGGGGGAUUCUUGUACCUGUGGCUCUGGUUCUCCUCAGGGGAACCCCCUUUAGAAAGUCACAGAGUUUCUGGUGAAUUGACAGAGAACCAGGCAGUCUAUGAAGCUGGCAUGUGAUAUGGGGGAUGUACUUAUGCUAAAAAUCACGUGGUUAUUUAUCCAAAAGUCACACCUUGCAUUAUCUGACAACCAUAGGAGCAUGGGACCUAGACCUGGGUGUUUUUAAAGGGUCUGAUAUACAGAGCUGAGAACCAUGAGCAAGAGGCUUGCACUGCUGUGAGCAAGCCCACUGUCUCCUGUCCCAGGCCCGGUCCCCAAGGGCAAAGACUUCUGAGUAGAUGGAGCAUUCCCAGUCUUAGAAACUUCUCCUGGGAAGCUUUUGAGAUCUCCUUCUUACUCAUCCUUUCCAUCUGUCUCAUAGAUGCCUCUCACAGUGAUUAAAAACCUAUUUUUUAUGUAAAUUGGAAAGUCUACAAUCCAUCUUAAUUUUUUAAUACUUUAAACAAUGUAGGAGUUCCUGUUGUGGCUCAGCAGAUUAAGAAUCAGACAUAGUGUCUGUGAAGAUGUGGGUUCAAUCUCUGGCUGCUCAGUGGGUUAAGAGUCUGGCAUUACUGCAAGCUGAGGCAUAGGUCACAAAUACGACCUGGAUCUGGUGUUGCUGUGGCUGCAGCAUAGGCCAGCAGCUGCAGUUCCAAUUCGGCCCUAGCCUGGGAACUUCCAUAUGCCACAGGUGCAUUCC